CUUGUUCCUGUUGGGAGGCAGGGGAAUGAGGGUGUCAUAAAUGAUGAGAUUCUUGGGCCAAUGAAGAAUCUCCACUUUGCCCUACUCCUUUUCUGGAAUGUUUAGAAACCAUAGGCUCUAGAGACAGGAUUCCUAGGCUCAACUCACACCCUCCCCCUUAUUGUCCCUCCAAUUUCUGCUUUUCAUUUCAUCUCUCAAGCAUACUCCCUCCUUCCUCCUCCAGCAUCUGCACUAAUCCAGCUCACACUCCAGAGUCACCUUUCACUCAUCUUCUGCUCACACUCCCCACAUUCAGCCGUGGCACACUCUGUUAGCCCCACCUUCCAGACACAUCCAGGAUUUGACCUUUUCGAAUCACCCCACCAUUUUCACUGCCACCACUUAGGCUGCAGUAGGCCCUGGCAGGAGCCUCUUCACUGGUCCCCCUUGCCUUGGCCCUUUCUAUUCCCUGCACGACAGCCAGAGGGAGCUUUUACUGCUGGAAGGCAGCAAUGGGACAGUUUCAUAGCACAAAUUCUAAAGUUACACACCUGGGUACAAAUCCUCCAUUUGGAGCUCCCUGGCUGUGUUGCCUUAAACAAGUUAGUUAACUUCUCUGGGUCUCAAUUUCCAUUGGUAACAAAGACUCCAUUAACAUUUUCCUAGCAUUCAUCAUGAAACAGUUUAAGCACUCCUAUGUGCUGGUAACAAAGUUACUCCUAAAUUUAUAUGAGUUACAUACUAACAGUUUAAGCACUCCUAUGUGCUGGUAACAAAGUUACUCCCAAAUUUAUAUGAGUUACAUACUAGCUCUCCUCAUUUCACAGAUGAUGAAAAAUGUUUUGAGUUUAAGGGGGCUCUGCUUACACAGACCCGGUUUAAACCCAAGCAUGUUUAUAACUGACUUUGUGUUACAUCUUCUGGCAAAGGUAACUGUUGCCAUUUCACAGUAAAGUAUUGUGGGGGUGGGUGGGGCAGGAGUGUUAAAUGAGUUCCUGAGAGGAAAUAACCAUAACAAUAGUUACACAAUUAGUAACAAUACCUAUUCUUGUCUCUACUCCAGGUUUCUGGUGCUAAAUCUCUGUAACCAGUUUGUAUUUCCAGGGAGGUAGGAAGAGAGAGACAUUUGGGGCUUCAUUUGGCUCCUGAUCCCCUAAGAAACCCAGUUAGUCUUACCACCUAUAAAAUGGGGAUAACCAAAUCUGUUCAUCCUAUUUUUUUUCAGGAAGGAUCAGAGGAGAAAACCCCCUUUGGAAACAGGGUUUGGAAGCCAUUCCGGGGUCAUCCGCCAAGCAAGAGGAUGGUUAAGACCAAGAUGGCUAUAGUCAAGUCAUGCUGGAUUCUCACACAUGAUCGGUCAUUUCUCAAGUAGCUCAUCCCCACCGUGGGUCGAGUCAGUCAGUGUCUUGUGAUGUCUAGGUCCCUCCGAGAAGCAUGGGGUCUUAUCAGAGCAGGUGGUCUGUAAUCACAUACAGCCAUAGUCAGGUAGCUACAUGGAUCUUGCUGUGGAUAGGCUGGCCUGUGACUCACUCAGGCUGCCCCUUAUCAUGUCAGGCAGCCAGGUGGUCAUUUUCAGCAAUCCCCAACCUGUACCAUGUGAGCAGUUAGUCAACACAUUGAGCCAGGCCCUCAAGCAUGGUGCAUUUCAGUCAGACACAGCUAUGUAGUGGGCAGCUGCAGUCCUUGAUCAGUAAUCCUGAAAUUCCUUCAGUUUAGUCUUUGCUCACAUAGGGCCAUACAGGGUAACAUCCAAACAGUUCCUCUCUCAGGCCAGGGGCAAUUUCUAGCAUCAGUCUUUCUUUUCUUUUCUUUUCUUUUUUUUUUUUGUCUUUUUGUUUUUUUAUCAGUACUGGGGAUUGAACUCACGACCACACACUUGCAAGGCAGGUGCUUAUGCCACUGAGCUAAAUCCCCAGUCCCCAGUCUUUCAUUACAACACCCUGGCCCCUACCCAGCAGGAAUACCACAGGUCACCAGUAACGCCCUCAGGAGGCUGCCUGUCUUCUUCACUGUCAGGCCAUCAGUCCAGCCAGUCCUAGGUGAGAGCCUCACAGCAUCAGGAAAUUGCACUGUUGAUCUCUCAAACUGCCCCUCUUGCUGUCAUUCUGUGAGCUAUAGUCAACCAAAACUCACACAGUUAACCAGAUACUGUGUCUGCUUUCAUCCAGAUGAAGAAAAUGGCUUGUCACUGAGGUUCCAUCAAUUCCUGCUGGCCAUGUUCAUCUGUGUUAAGUGCCACCGUGUAACCCUUUCCCUCCCUUACUCCUUGUAGAACUGUCAGAUGCUGUUCCUCCCUCACGUGCAGCCUCUCUGGAGGGAUUGAGUUCCUGCUCCUUGGAGUCCCAGAGGCUGUCCAAACCAAGAAAAUGAUUUAAGAUGAAACCUCUACUGUCCUUGAUUUGGUAGAUGGAGGGCUCUGUGGGUAGUGGAGAGAAACCCUUGACCUUUCCCAAAUAGUGUAAUAAUAUAGUUAGAGCAAAGGCCUGGACUCUGGAAAAUGACCACUUGGGUCAAAUCCCAACUCCACAUUUUACUGUAUAGAGUGGCAUUGGGCAUUUUCUUCAUUCAUGAAGGGGUUAGUCUCUCAUUCAUUUGGAGAGUGAAUUUUUUUGGACUAGUACCUUUUUCAGGAGAUCUUAAAAUAAAAAUGUCACCCUGUUACUAGAUUCCAGUCAUGUGUCUGUUUAUCCAGCAUGUGUCUGGUUUGCCUAAUGCUGGGGACAAGACAUGAUUUUAUCCAUCAAAAGGUGCAUAGGUUUGACUGUUUUGAUGUGUGAAAACUGCAUAUUGGCCUGUAACAUACACACUGAAUGGUAUAGAGACCAUGGGGAUACAGUGUGCUGAAUUUUCACAAGGGAAUAUACACCUGAAAUCUGAAUGCAGACAUUAAGAAACAUUUAAUGUUUUAAUAUCUCUGAAACCAGCCUAUAUCUUCCAAGUCCUAGCAAGUCAUAAUUUACUUAUUUAUUUAUUGUGGUACCGGGAAUCAAACUCAUGACCUCGAACUUGCCAGGCAGGCACUUAUGACGCUGAGCUAAAUCCCCAGCCCCAUAAUUUAUUUUUUUAAAGAAGAAAUUUCAAAACAGUAGGCUGGUGACAAUGGUUAAUAUAGUGUGUAUUGUUAGCUUUAGUUACUCAGAGUACAAGAUAUAGGCAUUUAAUCAUCCAAACAAUAUUAGCACAAACCUUUCUUUUCCAUGAACUAAGAGGAAUUAGUAAUACAAGUGUCUUAUGUGUAUAUAUGUAUAUGUGUAUAUAUGUUACUUGCUUUUCCCUCCCUGCUUUUCUCCUUCCACCCAUCCCACUUUCUCUUUCCUUUUGAACAGUUUCUUUCCAUUUUACAAUAUCUGUUGUACAUUUUGGAUCUUAUUUACUGUUUUAGCUUGUCACACCAGGGAGACAAUAAGAUGUUUCCACAUGUGUGUCUUAUUUAUUUCACUUAUAAAUACGGUUUUGAGUUGCAUCCAUUUACUUAUAAAAGUCUCUAGUUGAUCCUUCUUUAUGGCCAAGUAGUACUCCAUUGUAUAAAAAUGCCACGUCUUUUUAUCCAUUCCUCAGUCAAUGGACACUUAGGUUGUUUCCAAAAUCAAUAUAUUAAAAAUCGUGCUGUUAUAAACAUGGGUGCACAUAUAUUGCUGUGGUAUGAAGUUUUUAAUUCUUCUGGAAAGGUACCUGAAUAACUGGGUCAAAUGGAACCUCCAACCCUAGUUUUUUUGAGGAGUCUCCACACUGAUUUCCACAGUGGUUGCACUAGUCUACCCUUCCACCAACAGUGAAGGGUCCGUAUUUCCCCCGUCAGCAUUUGUUAUUGCUUGAUUUUUUGAUGAUAGCUAUUCUUUCUGGAGUGAGAUGGACUCUCAGGAUUGUUUUAAUUUGCACCUUUCAAAUGACUAGUGAUGCUGAACAUUUUUUCAAAUAUUUAUAUCUGACUGGUUUUUCUCCCUCCAAGCACUGUGCCCUUUCCAAAUUGAUGGUUCAAAAGGUCUUCCACUGAUCUUGCAACCGGCUCUGGAUUCCCCCUCACAAACGGGGUAAAACAGUUGUCUGCACACUGGAUCAGCAUGUGGAAGACUCCAGGUUCCAUUGUCAGCAGUGCAAAAAGCAACAAAAUGAAAAACAGGACUGAGCAAGUUCCCUGAUUGGCCCAUUUCUUUCUUUUUUUUUUUCAGUACUGGUGGAAUGCUCUACCUAUUUUUUAUUUGUUUUUGAGACAGGGUCUCACUGUGUAGCCCAGGCUGUUUUGGUCUCCCGAGUGCUGGGGUUACAGAUGUGCCCCAGUGUGCCCAGCUGGUGAUUAAAUCUUUGCGACUUCCAUUGCAAUUGGUCAGUGCUUGCUUUGUUCUGGGAACUGGGCACAGCUGACUUUUGCAAUUGAGAGGGAUAUCUUGCCCAUCAGGGUCCUGGUUUGCACAAAGAGUAGGGAGGUCUGACCAUUGAGUGUGCUCUUGAUCUUGUAUAGUGUCCACUGAAAAAUACUUCACAUGUGCACAUGAAUAAAUGAUUUACUCAUUUA